rnacentral:rRNA from 1 species
UUCCAGACUCCUACGGGAGGCAGCAGUGGGGAAUAUUGCACAAUGGGGGAAACCCUGAUGCAGCGACGCCGCGUGAGCGAUGAAGUAUUUCGGUAUGUAAAGCUCUAUCAGCAGGGAAGAAAAUGACGGUACCUGACUAAGAAGCCCCGGCUAACUACGUGCCAGCAGCCGCGGUAAUACGUAGGGGGCAAGCGUUAUCCGGAUUUACUGGGUGUAAAGGGAGCGUAGACGGCUGUGCAAGCCAGAUGUGAAAGCCCGGGGCUCAACCCCGGGACUGCAUUUGGAACUGUGUGGCUGGAGUGUCGGAGAGGCAGGCGGAAUUCCUAGUGUAGCGGUGAAAUGCGUAGAUAUUAGGAGGAACACCAGUGGCGAAGGCGGCCUGCUGGACGAUGACUGACGUUGAGGCUCGAAAGCGUGGGGAGCAAACAGGAUUAGAUACCCGAGUAUA